UGCAAGUCGAACGGAAAGGCCCUUCGGGGUACUCGAGUGGCGAACGGGUGAGUAACACGUGGGUGAUCUGCCCUGCACUUUGGGAUAAGCCUGGGAAACUGGGUCUAAUACCGAAUAUGACCGCGCACUUCCUGGUGUGUGGUGGAAAGCUUUUGCGGUGUGGGAUGGGCCCGCGGCCUAUCAGCUUGUUGGUGGGGUAAUGGCCUACCAAGGCGACGACGGGUAGCCGGCCUGAGAGGGUGACCGGCCACACUGGGACUGAGAUACGGCCCAGACUCCUACGGGAGGCAGCAGUGGGGAAUAUUGCACAAUGGGCGCAAGCCUGAUGCAGCGACGCCGCGUGAGGGAUGACGGCCUUCGGGUUGUAAACCUCUUUCAAUAGGGACGAAGCGCAAGUGACGGUACCUAUAGAAGAAGGACCGGCCAACUACGUGCCAGCAGCCGCGGUAAUACGUAGGGUCCGAGCGUUGUCCGGAAUUACUGGGCGUAAAGAGCUCGUAGGUGGUUUGUCGCGUUGUUCGUGAAAACUCACAGCUUAACUGUGGGCGUGCGGGCGAUACGGGCAGACUAGAGUACUGCAGGGGAGACUGGAAUUCCUGGUGUAGCGGUGGAAUGCGCAGAUAUCAGGAGGAACACCGGUGGCGAAGGCGGGUCUCUGGGCAGUAACUGACGCUGAGGAGCGAAAGCGUGGGGAGCGAACAGGAUUAGAUACCCUGGUAGUCCACGCCGUAAACGGUGGGUACUAGGUGUGGGUUUCCUUCCUUGGGAUCCGUGCCGUAGCUAACGCAUUAAGUACCCCGCCUGGGGAGUACGGCCGCAAGGCUAAAACUCAAAGAAAUUGACGGGGGCCCGCACAAGCGGCGGAGCAUGUGGAUUAAUUCGAUGCAACGCGAAGAACCUUACCUGGGUUUGACAUGCACAG
rnacentral:rRNA from 2 species